rnacentral:rRNA from 1 species
CUUGGUCAUUUAGAGGAAGUAAAAGUCGUAACAAGGUUUCCGUAGGUGAACCUGCGGAAGGAUCAUUAGAGAAAGGACAAAGUACCACACUGUUGCUGGACGGUGUCGAUUUAUCGACAAGAUAUAUCGACACUUGCCAGCGAGGUCGAAGGACCAUAACCUCUUUUAGCUGGUUACUCGGCUAUGCCGAGUAAGAUGGCAAAAAAGGAAAUUAAACAUUGACUAGCAACAACAAACACACAAGCACCUCGCCGCAAUGGAUCUCUCGGCUCUUGCAUCGAAGAAGAACGCAGUCAAUUGCGAAAAGUAAUGUGACGUGCACCCUUUGUGAAGCAUUAUACUCUUUGAACGCACCUUGCGCGCAUCUCCGGAUGCGAGGUCCUGUUUGAGCGUGAUAUAUUACUGGCAUUUGGCAGCUAUGUAUUUUAUAUAAUGCAUGGCGGCUGAAAUGGAAGCAGGCCCGAACGUCUCUAGGGCGCCACGGGCAGCAGCGCGACAAGCACCACUGCGAGCCGUGGGACUGCAGGUGCGCGAGAUGGCUGUACAGUCAUUGUUCACGCACAAUCAUACACACACACACCUCAAAUCAGGAUAGAGGACCCGCCGAACUUAAGCAUAUCAGUAAGCGGAGGAAAAGAAACUAACAAGGAUUCCCCCAGUAACGGCGAGUGAAGCGGGAACAGCCCAUGACGAACCACCAGCAGCGAUGCAGGCGGGCUGUGUCGUGGAGCCGCGCGCGGGCGCCAAGAAAACGUCGCAGGUCCCCUGGAAAGGGGCGGCACAGAGGGUGACACCCCCGUGGCGACGUUGACGUGGAGCCUCGGGCGCGGCAGCGAGUCGGAUUGUUUGGGAAUGCAAUCCCAAGCAGGUGGUACGCGCCAUCUAAGGCUAAACAGCGGCAAGAGACCGAUAGCAAACAAGUACCGUGAGGGAAAGAUGAAAAGGACUCUGAAGAGAGAGUCAAAAGUGCGUGAAAUUGCGUGGAGGGAAACGAAGGCGUGCGCUUCACAGGUGGCCGAGUCGCGCUGCACAACAAUCGGCCUGGGAGGUGCCACGUGGCGACACGCGGACGUACAGCCAGGCCGGCUUGGGCAGGGCGGCACCGGACACGGCGCGCGUCUUUGACCCGUCUUGAAACACGGACC